GAUGGAGAAGAAAGGGAAUAUCUAGAUGGUUCAAUUCUAUGUUUAGAAGUUUCUAUCUCAUCUUCAUUUUUUGAUUUUAAAAUUUUAUUUGAUUUUGCAAACUUUAUUUCUAUAUUACCAUCUACAUGUUGAAUAAUUUUAUCAGGAAUAUUAUUUGUUGGAAUUUGAUGAUGAAUAUUGUCAUUCUGGAUUGACCAAGAUUCUGGUAGAGUAAUUUCUAACCAUUUUAUUGUUUUUGGGAUAAUUGUGUUG
rnacentral:lncRNA from 1 species